GAUGAACGCUAGCGGCAGGCUUAACACAUGCAAGUCGAGGGGUAUUGGUUUUCGGACCAAGAGACCGGCGCACGAGUGCGUAACGCGUAUGCAAUCUACCUUUUGCAGAGGGAUAGCCCCAGAGAAAUUUGGAUUAAUACCUCAUAGUAUAGUACUUUGGCAUCAAGGAACUAUUAAAGUCACAACGGCAAAAGAUGAGCAUGCGUCCCAUUAGCUAGUUGGUAAGGUAACGGCUUACCAAGGCAACGAUGGGUAGGGGUCCUGAGAGGGAGAUCCCCCCANACUGGUACUGAGACACGGACCAGACUCCUACGGGAGGCAGCAGUGAGGAAUAUUGGACAAUGGGCGCAAGCCUGAUCCAGCAAUGCCGCGUGCAGGAUGAAGGCCUUCGGGUUGUAAACUGCUUUUGUACGGAACGAAACGGUGAGCGUCUAAUACAGUUUGCUAAUGACGGUACCGU
rnacentral:rRNA from 1 species